CCCUCAUCCUCUAUUAUGUUGCUAUACUAGACUGGUUCUCCCACCUCCUCCUCUCUAAUGUAGCUGUACUAGACUGGUUAUCUCUCCUCCUCCUCUCUAAUGUAGCUGUACUGGAUCGGUUCUCCCUCCUCCUCUCUAAUGUGUCUAUAAUAGACUGGUUCUCGCUCGUCCUCCUCUUUAAUGUAGAUGUACUAUACAGGUUCUCCCUCCUCCUCUCUAAUAUAUCUAUACUAGACUGGUUUUCCCUCCUCCUCCUCUCUAAUGUAGCUAUACUAGACUGGUUUUCCCUCCUCCUCUCUAAUGUAUCUAUCAUAGACUGGUUCUCCCUCCUCCUCCUCUUUAAUGUAGCUGUACUAGACUGGUUCUCCUUCCUCCUCCUCCUCUCUAAUGUAGCUAUACUAGACUGGUUCUCCCUCUUCCUCCUC
ensembl:lncRNA